AGGGCCUGUUUGGUUGAGCAUUUGGAAGGGACUUUGGAGCUCCAAAGGGGUUUGGCCGAAAGCUGAAGGUGUUUGGUUCAACUUUUUGAGGGCUUUGGGGGGAUGUACUUGCAUCUCCAAGGGACUUGAAGGGACUUUAGAGGAAUGGAGGGGGAGAGGUCCAUUGGGAAGUUGCUUUCGGAAUGCAACUUCUACUGUUCAUCUUCACCGGAGAGAAGCCGAUCGGAGGACGACGACCGCCGGCCAAGGGGUCGCGCGCGCCGGCAAUGCGCCGGCGACCGCCGGCCAAGGGUCCCCCGACCCCGGCGACCGUCGCCGGACCUCAGGCGACGCCUGGGUCGCGCGAACCAGGCGGC
rnacentral:lncRNA from 1 species